rnacentral:lncRNA from 1 species
GCUCCUUUGAGCACGAGUUCAGGAAGGCUCAAGAGGAAGAGAACAGCAAGCGGAAUAUCUCCAUGCAUAAUACAGUUGGUGGGACCAUGACGGGACCCGGAGCUCACCAGCUAGGCAGCACUCGGAUGCCCAACCAUGACAGCAGCGUUGUGAUUCAGCAAGCCAUGCCUUCUCCCCAGUCCAGCUCGGUCAUCACUCAGGCUCCU